GCGCGAAAACUUUACAAUGCUGGCAACAGCGAUAAGGGAACCUCGAGUGCCAGGUUACAAAUCUGGCUGUCGAGAUGCCUAAAAAGCAUUUCAUAGCAAGGGCCGGGCAAGACCGGUGCCAGCCGCCGCGGUAACACCGGCGGCUCGAGUGGUAACCGUUAUUAUUGGGUCUAAAGGGUCUGUAGCCGGCCGGAUAAGUCUCUUGAGAAAUCUGGCAGCUUAACUGUCAGGCUUUCAGGAGAUACUGUCUGGCUCGAGGCCGGGAGAGGUGAGAGGUACUUCAGGGGUAGGGGUGAAAUCUUGUAAUCCUUGAAGGACCACCAGUGGCGAAGGCGUCUCACCAGAACGGACCUGACGGCAAGGGACGAAAGCUAGGGGAGCGAACG
rnacentral:rRNA from 1 species